rnacentral:rRNA from 2 species
UUUUUAUGGAGAGUUUGAUCCUGGCUCAGGAUGAACGCUGGCGGCGUGCCUAAUACAUGCAAGUCGAGCGAACAGACGAGGAGCUUGCUCCUCUGACGUUAGCGGCGGACGGGUGAGUAACACGUGGAUAACCUACCUAUAAGACUGGGAUAACUUCGGGAAACCGGAGCUAAUACCGGAUAAUAUAUUGAACCGCAUGGUUCAAUAGUGAAAGACGG